UACGUAGGGUGCGAGCGUUAAUCGGAAUUACUGGGCGUAAAGCGUGCGCAGGCGGUUCGUUGUGUCGGCGGUGAAAGCCCCGGGCUCAACCUGGGAAUGGCCGUUGAAACUGGCGAACUGGAGUGUGGCAGAGGGGGGUGGAAUUCCGCGUGUAGCAGUGAAAUGCGUAGAGAUGCGGAGGAACACCGAUGGCGAAGGCAGCCCCCUGGGCUAACACUGACGCUGAGGAGCGAAAGCGUGGGGAGCGAACAGG
rnacentral:rRNA from 1 species